ACAGGGGUGGAGCAGUCUGGUAGCUCGUCGGGCUCAUAACCCGAAGGUCGUAGGUUCAAAUCCUUCCCCCGCAACCA
rnacentral:tRNA from 1 species